GAACCCACAACCCUGGCAUGUACCCUGACUGGGAAUCAAACCAGUGUCCUCUUGAUGCAUGGGUCAACACUCAAUCAAUAAGCCACAUCAGCCAGGCCUAAAUCUCUUCAUUUUAAUGUCUUUUUCUAUCUGAGUAGGCUGAGAAUUUCAAAGUCAUCAAGUCCUAUUUUCUUUAUAUUUAUUUAACAAUUCUCUCAAUUUAUCUGUCUCCUCCCACAUCUAUAUAUAUAUAAAAGCCUAAGCAAUGGUUACAACCAGAAUGACCAGUCGCUAUGAUGCACUCUGACCACCAGGGGGCAGAUGCUUAACACAGGAGCUGCCCCCUGGUGAUCAGUGCCCUCCCACAGCCAACCUCCUGUGGUCUCUCCCCCUGGCCGGUCAACCUACUGCUGCCCUCUCCCUGGCUGGCCAACCUCCCAUGGUCCCUCAUCCCUGCCAGCCACUGCCCCCCUCACCCCUCUUGUGCCCUGAUCGGGGGGGUUGGCUGGCCAACCUCUCGGGUUUCCUUCCCCCAGCCAGCUGGCCCCCCAUAGCUGCACCCUCCACCGUUUGCUUAGAAAUCUCUUUAGCUAAAUAUAGUAAGUCUAGCACUUAAAAAUUCUGCUUUUCACCUUACCACAGGACACACUUCAGCUAAGAUUUUGUAGUAUAUAACUCUAAUCUCUUUUUCUUUAGUUUCUAACAGUAUGAUCCUCAUUUUCUUCCGAGCCUUCACUGGCAGCACCUUUAAUGUCCUUAUUUCUCACGACGAUUUAGAUAUUUUCCAUGACAGCUUACCAUUCUCUACCAUGCUCCUUACCUCCUUUGAACCCUCACUAGAAUUCAUACAUAUAUUCAAUAACAGUGUUCAAGGAAAUCUUGACUUUUCCUGUCAUUCUCCUAAAUUUUCUCUCAUCCUCUAGUCACUGCCCGAUUUCAGAGUCAUUCUGUACUUUCAGGUGUUUGCUGUGGCAACACCCCACUUUCAGGGAUAUAGAAAUGUGUUCUGUGCCAACUCACUGCCAGUUGACUUGAUAUGCCAAUAGGAGAUUUGAAAUUAACCUUUCUCAGGGGGUUCUGGGAAUUUAUUUACUUUUAAUAUGUUUUUAUUGAUUGUUAGAGAGAGAAAAAGGGAGAGAAAGAUAGAAACAUUAAGGAGAGAGAAAUGUCAUUGAUCAGCUGCCUCCUGCACACCCCCACAGGGGAUCUCCCACAACCCGGCAUGUGCCCUGACCAGGAAGUGAAUGUGAACUCCUGGCUCAUAGGUCAACACUCAACCACUGGGCCACACUGGCCGAGUGGGGGCUCUGGUUAUUUUAAGGCAGUGAAUUUACUUAUAUGAGGGGUUCUAAUACCGGAGUGCUAUCAGAAAUUCCACAGAUAAAAUGUUGAUCCCACCACCACAAAGAAAAUUUUUUCUGGAUGUCAUAACAUAGAGUAAGAAGAUUAUUCCUGUAUCUCCAAGUUGUUUUCAAUGAGGAAAGAAACAACUUGGAGAAUAUAUAAAUAAUAGUUCAAAGAGCUCUUGUAGUUCAAAAAGAUGUCCAGGGAUACCACUCUGUCAGGAACAAAAUCAUCUUUUUAAGGAAAAAAUCUAUUGAAACAAAUGAGCUUUUAAAUAAAGACAUUUUCCUGUUUUGGAUUACCAAAACCAGGGGGAAAUUAACCAAUUUCUUUUUAUCAGUUAUGUAGAGUGCCUAGCACAUAUAAAAUAGCUGCCAGUUUUGUAUAUAAUAGUCUUCCAAAAUAUAGAGAUUUGCAUUAGGGGAGAGAAUUAAACAUCCAGAAGGGAUGAACAAGACUUUUACAUGAACUAUAUAGUAUUUUGCUUCAUUUAGAGUCAUUUUCCUGAUUUUUUAUUUAUUACAGUCAUUGUAACUUUUAAAAUCUAUAAUCAUCUCAAAGGAGAAUAUGUCACAAUGAGCAGUUAGACAACCAUGUAUGAAGUCAGUUGUUUUGCAUGAUGUGUGUAAUCAAAAAGUUUUUAAGUGUCUGCUUACCAAUAAAGAAUGUUCUCACUGAAACUCACUGAAAAA